rnacentral:rRNA from 3 species
CCUGGCGGCACUAGCGCGGUGGUCCCACCUGACCCCAUGCCGAACUCAGUAGUGAAACGCCGUAGCGCCGAUGGUAGUGUGGGGUCUCCCCAUGCGAGAGUAGGGAACUGCCAGGC